GGGAAUAUUGGACAAUGGGCGCAAGCCUGAUCCAGCCAUGCCGCGUGAGUGAUGAAGGCCCUAGGGUUGUAAAGCUCUUUCACCGGUGAAGAUAAUGACGGUAACCGGAGAAGAAGCCCCGGCUAACUUCGUGCCAGCAGCCGCGGUAAUACGAAGGGGGGCUAGCGUUGUUCGGAAUUACUGGGCGUAAAGGGCACGUAGGCUGGCUGUUAAGUCGGGGGUGAAAUCCUGAGGCUCAACCUCAGAAUUGCCUCCGAUACUGGCGGUCUCGAGUGCGGGAGAGGUGAGUGGAAUUCCCAGUGUAGAGGUGAAAUUCGUAGAUAUUGGGAAGAACACCAGUGGCGAAGGCGGCUCACUGGCCCGCAACUGACGCUGAGGUGCGAAAGCGUGGGGAGCAAA
rnacentral:rRNA from 1 species